rnacentral:lncRNA from 1 species
UUUGGUAUUAAGUUACCAUUAAAUGGCAAUCUUAUUUGUUAUUUUCGUGUUUUUAAACCUCUGCCACUUUUGCAAAAACAUGGGCCUCUAAAGUCAUUUGGGCUGUUUUCUGGAGACAAGGCCCAUUCUUCUAUUUUCGUUAUGGGGCGGGUUUUCAAUUUGGUUGGCGUGUGGAAUUUUUAGGCCCAAACAAUGCCCCUUAAGUCAGAAUCGUUUAAAAAAUGGUUCCAGAAUUAAUGAUUGGCCAAUCAAUG